rnacentral:rRNA from 1 species
UACGUAGGUGGCAAGCGUUGUCCGGAUUUACUGGGCGUAAAGAGCGCGCAGGCGGUCGUUCAAGUCGCGUGUGAAAGCCCCCGGCUCAACUGGGGAGGGUCACGCGAUACUGAUCGACUGGAAGGCAGGAGAGGGUAGUGGAAUUCCCGGUGUAGUGGUGAAAUGCGUAGAUAUCUGGAGGAACACCGGUGGCGAAGGCGGCAUCCUGGACCGACACUGACGCUGAGGAGCGAAAGCCAGGGGAGCAAACGGG